AGCCUCAACAGCCCUUGGAUCAACAUCUGCAGUAAGGGACUUCAAAACACAUCUUCUACACGUGACAAGCACAUGUAUACGACGCCCCUUGAAGUGGGGGCAUUUGUAGACAUCAAAAUUUCGGUAAAAUAAAUGUUGAAAUUUCAACGUUUAUGUGUCAUAUAAAUUUUACACAUAGCAUGUGACUAAACGAAAAAUCAAAAUAAAUCAGAAAAGUCAUCAAACAAGACACAUGUCAACACCUGGCAGAAAUGAUUUAUUUCAUCUAAUUAUUUAAAUCCAAAAAAUCAAGUUUUGGAAUUCUAUAAAUAGGAGGCCAAGGCAUUCAUUUUGGCGACUAAUUCAUAACAAUUCACCUCUCACCACAACCUUGAAGCUUUGAAACUCCAAAGCUCCCAACCAAAUCCCGAAGGAUCAAGAAAGCUCUCUUCGUUCUUCAUCAAUCUCAUUCAAAAUCAGCCCAACGGCCCUUGAAGAACUUCCCUAAUUCAAGAUCAAGCCCCGACGACCUUUGAAGAAAGUGUCCAUCAUUCAUCAUUCGUUCAUCCCUAGAUCAAGCCUCGACAGCCCUUUGGAUCAACAACGUCAACAAAUCCGCACAACUGUUUAUCCCAAGAUCAAGCCCCGACGGCCCUUUGGACCAACAACAUCAAAUCUACCCAUUACAAAGAUACAAUCAGAGGCUAAAUUUGUAAAAGAGAUUGUAACCCCUAAAUCAUCAAUACAAAUAUUAUUUUGUACACGUGUUCUUGUCUCGUUCAUCGCAGGAAUUUCCGUGUUUACAAUGAUGUUGGCUCCAUUGCACUUAGUUAAGUCAUUCCCACCAUGCAGGUUCGAGUAGGGGUUCAAGAACAACCUCACAAUGAUAUGAUGAUCAUUCUCGUUGCCUACCUUCAUAACAUCAUGUAUGCAUAUAGAACUCCUCCUGAGUGUAAGCACGCACUUUGUACUCCCCCAUGAUAGGGUAAAGUCGGUGUACGAGUCACAAACGAUUAGAGCCUACCACGGUGGAAGGCCACUAAAGAGUGUUCAAAGCACUCUCA
rnacentral:lncRNA from 1 species